rnacentral:snoRNA from 1 species
AAGUGAUAUGAUGUUUUACCAUCUUUCGGGACUGACUCUAGAAGUGGAGAGUUCUUUCUUUAAUACUGAUCACAU